AGCUUGCCCCCAUCGUGGACUUGGUAAGAAACAUCCCCUGCGCAGUGACAAAACGGAACAACCUCAGGAAAGCUUUCCAAGAGUAUGCAGCCAAGUUCGAUCCUUGCCAGUGUGCUCCAUGCCCUAAUAAUGGCCGACCCACCCUCUCAGGGACUGAAUGUCUGUGUGUGUGUCAGAGUGGCACCUAUGGUGAGAACUGUGAGAGACGGUCUCCAGAUUAUAAAUCCAAUGCAGUAGAUGGACACUGGGGUUGUUGGUCUUCCUGGAGCACCUGUGAUGCUACUUAUAAGAGAUCGAGAACCCGAGAAUGCAAUAAUCCUGCCCCCCAACGAGGAGGGAAACGCUGUGAGGGGGAGAAGCGACAAGAGGAAGACUGCACAUUUUCAAUCAUGGAAAACAAUGGACAACCAUGUAUCAAUGAUGAUGAAGAAAUGAAAGAGAUCGAUCUUCCUGAGAUAGAAGCAGAUUCCGGGUGUCCUCAGCCAGUUCCUCCAGAAAAUGGAUUUAUCCGGAAUGAAAAGAAACUAUACUCGGUUGGAGAAGAUGUUGAAAUUUCAU
rnacentral:sRNA from 1 species